AUAAAGUGAUUUGACCUAUUAAAUAGGUGGUGCAAAUAGUAAAAGAGGUGGUGUGAAUAGAAUUUUUCUUUUGUUUCCGAUUCAACUGAUGGAGGUAACUGUCCAAUCAAAAAAGUUAACUUAGUAUUGUAGAUUGUCAUGAUUAAAGUGUUUAACUUUUACCCUAAUACCUUAAAUUAAUUUCUCUUUCUAGCAGAUGGUUAUUUAAAACCAACUAUUGCUGCGUCUCUUAGUUAUCCCACUAUAGUGUCUCUACUGUCUUGGAACUAUAAAUUUUUCAAAUCUUUACAUGGUUGUGAUGAUUACUUACACAGCAUGAGUGAUGAUUUUUGUAUAUAAAUACAUUCACAUUACAACCUCCUAAAACUACUCUAUUCGAAUCAGAUUCUUCUACUGCGAUGGCUGGUCAGUUCAUCCUUAGCUUGAUUCACAACUCACUCCACAGUGCAUUAACAAAGCUAUCCGUGUUAGGUUGGUCCGCACAUAUAUGCUGUGUAUGAAAACAAAGAAAACAAGGGGGUCAACAGUACAGUAUAGAAUGUCUUUUCCAUGAUCAAGAGGGUGUGUUUGUUCAUGCUACUAUAUCAAAGGAUCAACUACAUAAAUGGUCCAAUUUCAAGGUGUUUAUGGUUUAAAUAACUUCAUGUGUAUUACUAAUUACUUGAAGUUCAAAACCACAAGCUUCCAAUAUUAUGGUGUAACCAUCGUUAUAUGAUUAAAUUUAUGCAUGAUACGAUGGUGAAGGAGUACAAGAAAGUUAGUUUUUCUAACAAAGAUGUUUCGUUUAAAAUAUAUACUUCAUUGGUCCGGAAAGAAGAAAUUGAUGAGAAGAUGCUCAUAGAUGUUAUUGGAAGGAUUAUUGAAAUAUAUAUAUUCAUCUGUGGAGAGGGUUGUUGUUGGACAGAAUGUGAAACUCAUUGAUUUUGUAUUGGAAGAUUCAAGAUCAGAUUCAAUGUACUCCUUGGGGAACAUGUGGACAAGUUGUUGCCUCUUUAUAACUCAAUAGCUGAAGGACCAAUGGUUGUUUUGCUCCAGUUGUGUAGAGCCAAGAUGGAGAUGUGCACAUCGCAAGUUCAUUUCAUGCAACCAAAAUCUGGAUCAAUCACAGAUUACCAGAUUUUUAAGAGUUUAAGAAUAGUUUGCCAUCUGACAGAACACCAUUAAGGAGGAUAGACUCAAGGUCUAGACUGUCUGCUGAGUUGUAGUCUACUUGUGGGAUGUCAAUAUUGUUUAGGAUUGUUAUGAAGAAAGAACAAGUAGAUUGUCUGCUUUUCUGCAUUUGUGGUUUUAGGUUUGUGUAAAGAUGCUGGCAUUGUGUCAAAACACUGUGGGGAGAUGGUAUGUGAUCUACAGAGCACAAAUCAAAUUCAGGAGGAUUCUUUUGGCAAGGAAGAAUGUGAUGAUUUUGAACUGAUUGGAGUUGUUGAGGGAGGCUCAUCAACAAAUGUUGGAAGUUCACUCAAGAAGUCUCUAAUGGAUGAAUUUAAUCAAUCUGAAGUUAACAAAAUUCAUAUUAAGGGUGACUCUCUCAUCAUCAAUUUAUCAAUUUAAUCAUUGUGGUUCAAUAGCUGCUCAAACUAAUAUGCAUAUUUCAAUGCAUUAAAGGUCGAUGUCACUCCAUACCAACUGUAAUUGCUCCGACUAAGCCGAUGCAAAAAGGCAUGGUUUUUGUUAUUUGUGCGAUGCAAUGGUUACGGAGUCAGUAGGGGAUACUACUCGAGUUCACUAUUUUUGGUGAAUUUGUAGUUAGUGAGAAGCGAAAGCUGCGGUCGAGAAGGCUAGCGCAAAAAAA